CCUACGGGAGGCAGCAGUGGGGAAUAUUGGACAAUGGGCGAAAGCCUGAUCCAGCAAUGCCGCGUGAGUGAUGAAGGCCUUCGGGUCGUAAAGCUCUUUUACCAGGGAUGAUAAUGACAGUACCUGGAGAAUAAGCUCCGGCUAACUCCGUGCCAGCAGCCGCGGUAAUACGGAGGGAGCUAGCGUUGUUCGGAAUUACUGGGCGUAAAGAGUACGUAGGCGGUUAUUCAAGUCAGAGGUGAAAGCCCGGGGCUCAACCCCGGAACUGCCUUUGAAACUAGAUAACUAGAGUCUUGGAGAGGUUAGUGGAAUUCCGAGUGUAGAGGUGAAAUUCGUAGAUAUUCGGAAGAACACCAGUGGCGAAGGCGACUAACUGGACAAGUACUGACGCUGAGGUACGAAAGCGUGGGGAGCAAACAGGAUUAGAUACCCUGGUAGUCCACGCCGUAAACGAUGAUAACUAGUUGUUCGGUCACUUGGUGACUGAGUGACGCAGCUAACGCAUUAAGUUAUCCGCCUGGGAGUACGGUCGCAAGNUUAAAACUCAAAUGAAUUGACGG
rnacentral:rRNA from 1 species